CGCUGACGGGAGCGCCCUGAGGGUAACUUCACGUAGAUGGGAUAUCUGGAGACGGGGUAAUCCGGAUACAUUUGAAUCGCUUGUGGACAUUGAACGGCAGUUCGGCUCUCUCCACUGAUGACACGGGCGCAGAGCUCAUGUUGAGUAGCGGCUCAUCAACUCACGAUGAGAGCGGCAUUAGACGGUGAUGGUGCCACACCCGAUAUUGACACGGCACCGACUCCUAUGGGAGGCGGCUCUACUGAAUGUUCUGCAAUGUCUGACAGUGUGACGGAGCGACGCCGCCGGAGUGAUGAAGGUUCUCCGUCGUUGAACUUAGUUGUUAGGGAAGAACAAUGAUAGUUGAAUAAGCUGGCACCUUGCCGGUACAUAACCAGAAAACCACGGCCCACUACCUUCCCGCAAACCAGGUAAAAAAUACGUGCCCAGCCUUAUCCUGAAAUAUAUGGGGUAAAACGCGCGCCGGUGGUUUUUUAAGUUUGAUGUGAAAGCCCCCGGCCCCACCGUGGAGGGUCAUUGGAAAACGGGAAACCUGAGGGCAGAAGAGGAAAGUGGAAUUUCCUGUGGAGCGGUGAAAAGGGUAGAGAUAUGGAGGAACACCAGUGGGGAAGGCGACUUUCUGGUCUGUAACUGACAAUGAGGAGCGAAAGGGGGGGGAGCAAACAGGAUUAGAUACCCUGGUCGUCCACGCCGUAAACGAUGAGUGCUAAGUGUUAGGGGGUUUCCGCCCUUUAGUGCUGAAGUUAACGCAUUAAGCACUCCGCCUGGGGAGUACGGCCGCAAGGAUGAAACUCAAAGGAAUUGACGGGGGCCCGCACCAGCGGUGGAGCAUGUGGUUUAAUUCGAAGCAACGAGAAGAACCUUACCAGGU
rnacentral:rRNA from 2 species